rnacentral:lncRNA from 1 species
CCACUACUACUGUAAUAAGACUUCACAAGUGAUUUGAACCAUUUCUCCAUAUGAUACACAGACCAAGAGUAUAUAAAUUAAUAUUUUUGGUGCGGCAGAAAACACAAUUUCGAAUUCAAGUUCAAAUCGAUAUAAAUUCAACAUUAGUAAAUGGAGCCAUUAACGAAAAAGAUGCUUCUCAAACAUUAAACAAACUGCAGCAUGAGUUAUUUAUUAUGCUUAAUAUCCUAAGCAUCAAUAGGUUCAACAAACAAGAACUUCAUGCCCAUAAUUUGUACCCAAAGAAAAUAAAUCAUUUGAAUAUAGUUUCAAAUCGUCAAAAUCCAUGAAUCCUUUUGAAUUAAAACCAACUUUCAAUAGAAAUUCAUCAUAGUAGAGGUAAAUAAAGCCACAGUUCAGUUCCCUAAAUUUUUUAAUUCCCAUCCACAUGAAAACCCCAUUAAAGUAGGCUUAAACCAAUUAGCAUAUGAACAUGGCAAGAGAACAAAGAAAAUCUGAUUAACCCCAAUGAAAUUUGAUCAAAACUAAAGUAAAUCUACUCAAAGAGAUAAGAAGAGGGAGUGAGAAAUCACUUGCCUCAACAUGAUUAUAGAACUCAAGAUCGACCAGACUUUCCAAGCUUUGAAAUCCAAAAUAUUUUCUUGUUUUAUGCCAAAAUCCCUAGCCUUCUUUGUGUGUAUAAGGAACUAAAGUGAAUGAGUGUGAACUGAAAAUGAACAGGUUAUUUAACCGACUUACCUCUUGGAAUAUCUAUGGGCACACUAAUCAAGGCAACUCUAUUGGGCUUCAAUUCACUGGGCAAUUAUGACCCUAAUCUCGGCCCAAAAAGAUUAACCCAUCUAAUCAAUCCAUACCUCAGAGUACUCUGACCCAACUAAUAUGCAUUGCUAUACAGUUUUUCUGAAAUAUAAAUACCAUGAAAAUGCAAACAACCACGUACAAAACACAUGGCAGAAAAAUUAAAAAUACAGGGCACUACAAUCUACCCACCUAAAAAGAAAUUUGGCCCUCGAAAUUUACUUAUUAAUAACUCAAAAGGAAAAGAAUAUUAUAUCUACUAUACGAAAAAUACCUAUUAUACCUUCCUGUACAGCUCCACUAGUGUCUCCAUCUCGAGACAUUACGGAAAAAACCUGACCUGACCGCUUAUCUAUUAUACGAUCAGUUGAUCCCUUCCAUGAACCUUGAUAUCCUGAUUUUUCUUCUGACGAGUUGUGAUCAUUUGGAAUCUGUUCAAAUGGUUUUGUCUCAUAUUUUUCCUAAUCUUGCUUCAGCCAACGAUGUUCAGGAACUACAUAAUCAAUUGCCUUGUGUCCAACUCUACCACAUGUGUGGCAAGUCCCAUGAAAUUUUGAUGGUUUUCUCGUCUCUGAAGAUGAUGAACCUGUGUUUUGCUUCUUGUAUGGAGGUUGGGGUGUAUCUUCGUGAUGAGGUUGCGUUCUUUCACCCUUACUAGAACUCCCAUACCUGGUAUGAUCAUUUGGUCGACUGUGUUCUGCAAAAUCUUGUUCCAAUAAUGUAGCAAGAUCUGAUGCUUCUCUAACAGUAGGAUAAUGAUGACCUUUCACCAACCUUCGUAGUCCAUCUUUCAAACCUUCUUCAAACUGCCUGGCCUUUUGGAACUCAUCCAUAUUCAUAUGAGUAGCAAAGCGUGCGAGUCUAAUAAACCGAGUCUAAUAAACACUGUCAUCGACCCUUGCUUCAAAUUGAUGAACUCUCUUGCCUUAGCUGCUCUCAAAGCAUGAGGGAAAUACCUCAAGUCAAAGCGUCGACAAAAAUCCUCCCAAGUAAUGUUAUGCAGAUUUUCAAUUCUCGUCACUGACUUCCACCAAAUUGAAGCAUCUCCAAGCAAACACAAUGAUGCAAGCCUUUGUUUCUGAACCUCUGUAUACCCCAUAGCAUCAAAUAAGUUCUCAAUGUCCUCUUUCCAAUCCUCUACAACUGUAAUAUCAAAUGAACCACUAAAUCUGGGAGGCUUCAUUUUCAUAAAUCCUUCCACCAUUUUUCUCCAUGUUUCAUUAUCUUGCGCAACUUGAAAGUCAAUUGGUACUUCUUGGCCAUUUGCUGCUACAUGAUUAGUUGGUGGUGCUCGAUCCAAGUUAACAACUGGCGGUACUUGCGGAGCAACUCUACUAGCCUCUAUCGUAUCGAGUCUCCUAUUUGUCUGUUGUAACAUUCUUGUAAGAUAUGUAGCCCAUGCAGGUAUUUGCUCAGUAUCAGUAUUCCCUGAAGUACCUGCUCCAAACGUUGGAUUCACAUUAUUUUCAACCGCAAUGUCCGCUACCCGGAUUGUCUUACGAGUUCGAGCUGCUCUUUCUGAAGAAGACAUACUGAAAUAGGAAGGCAAUAAGACACAGCUGCAUAGAAAGGUGAGCUUAUGCAAAUUUAAUACCAGAAAAAAAAUAUCAUAACAUAUAAAUAUAAAACUAAUCGUCCUCACACAUUUCUAUCUGGUCACCCCUAACCUUAAACGAUUUCUAGGACCUGUAAACCUACAGCUCUAAUACCAUAACUGUAAUGCCCUAACUCCGUAUAUCCCAGUCGGCCGCUCCGGAAUAUAAGGAAUUGUAGCGCCCAAGCUACGUGACCAACUAGCCAACAACCAAAUUGUUCAAGUAACCUGUCUACAGCAGUAAAUACCAUUGCAAAACUCUAAAUAAAAGAAUCAACUGGAUAAAACCAAAACCUGGUAUAAUUAUAUUAAACAUCAGCUGGAUGUACAAAAGGGUUCCAUACAAAAUAUAAGAACUGUAAAUACAACUAUCUCAAAACUAUAUACAUGGCACCAACUGGUCUCAAAACACUAACACCAACUAAACUAAUUACAAGUCAAAAGAAAUUCUGAAAGCCUAAUCCACCUACGGCACUCGCGAAGCUACUGUAGAGCCAUCUCCUGAAAAGGAUGAAAACAACAAGGGUGAGCCACAGCUCGCAAGUAAAAUCUAACUCACUCAUCUUACCACCCAGGAUAGAGAUACAUCAAUAAAACUAAACUCACAACAUCGAUCAAUAUUAGAUAUUAAAAACAUACGGGGAAAUUAACGUAACAAGACAUAUAUCAUAACCUCAUUUAAAGAGUAAUUCAACCUUCGCAAUUACGAGCAAAAUUAUCAACUACUAUAAAUGUGUGUAGAUAACAUCCAACACACGCCCGAAGGCACAAGAUAAAAUACAUGCGGAUAGCAUCCAACAUACGCCCGAAGGCACAAGAUAAAAUAUAUGCGGAUAGCAUCCAACAUACGCCCGAAGGCACAUGAUCAAAUGUAUGCAGAUGACAUCCAACAUACGCCCGAAGGCACGAGUAUUAAAUGUAUGUGGACAACAUCCAACAUACGCCCGAAGGCACAAGUAUGAAGUGUAUGUGGACAACAUCCAACAUACGCCCGAAGGCACAAAGUGUAAGUGUGUACGAAUAACAUCCAACACACAGCCGAAACCACCAAGUGCAAGUGUAUACAUUAAUACCAGCAACAACACCCGAUCCCAAAAAUGUUAGCAAAAACAAACUAAAAGAUCAUAACAGAUCUAAUCCAAUUGAAUAAAUAUAUUCAUAUGCUAAUCACAAUAAACACUCAUAUGCUGACCUCGCGACACCAUAGUCAGUACACAAUCAAUAGCAGAGUAUUAUAAUUCAAAAUGUAUUUCAUUAAGUAGGGAGCCUAAUAUGUUACUUCACAUAUCAGCCCACUACUACUGUAAUAAGACUUCACAAGUGAUUUGAACCAUUUCUCCAUAUGAUACACAGACCAAGAGUAUAUAAAUUAAUAUUUUUGGUGCGGCAGAAAACACAAUUUCGAAUUCAAGUUCAAAUCGAUAUAAAUUCAACAUUAGUAAAUGGAGCCAUUAACGAAAAAGAUGCUUCUCAAACAUUAAACAAACUGCAGCAUGAGUUAUUUAUUAUGCUUAAUAUCCUAAGCAUCAAUAGGUUCAGCAAACAAGAACUUCAUGCCCAUAAUUUGUACCCAAAGAAAAUAAAUCAUUUGAAUAUAGUUUCAAAUCGUCAAAACCCAUGAAUCCUUUUGAAUUAAAACCAACUUUCAAUAGAAAUUCAUCAUAGUAGAGGUAAAUAAAGCCACAGUUCAGUUCCCUAAAUUUUUUAAUUCCCAUCCACAUGAAAACCCCAUUAAAGUAGGCUUAAACCAAUUAGCAUCUGAACAUGGCAAGAGAACAAAGAAAAUCUGAUUAACCCCAAUGAAAUUUGAUCAAAACUAAAGUAAAUCUACUCAAAGAGAUAAGAAGAGGGAGUGAGAAAUCACUUGCCUCAA